AUUGAACGCUGGCGGAAUGCUUUACACAUGCAAGUCGAACGGCAGCACGGACUUCGGUCUGGUGGCGAGUGGCGAACGGGUGAGUAAUAUAUCGGAACGUGCCCAGUCGUGGGGGAUAACGUAGCGAAAGCUACGCUAAUACCGCAUACGAUCUACGGAUGAAAGCGGGGGAUCGCAAGACCUCGCGCGAUUGGAGCGGCCGAUAUCAGAUUAGGUAGUUGGUGAGGUAAAGGCUCACCCAGCCGACGAUUUGUAGCUGGUCUGAGAGGACGACCAGCCACACUGGGACUGCGACACGGCCCAGACUCCUACGGGAGGCAGCAGUGGGUAAUUUUGGACAAUGGACGCAAGUCUGAUCCAGCCAUUCCGCGUGCAGGACGAAGGCCUUCGGGUUGUAAACUGCUUUUGUACAGAACGAAAAGGUCUCUAUUAAUACUAGGGGCUCAUGACGGUACUGUAAGAAUAAGCACCGGCUAACUACGUGCCAGCCGCCGCGGUAA
rnacentral:rRNA from 1 species